AGCACCCACACACAUACAGCACCCACACACAUACAGCACCCACAGACAUACACAGCACCCAGACAGCACCCACACACAUACAGCACCCACAGACAUACACAGCACCCACAGACAUACAGCACCCACACACAUACAGCACCCACAGACACAUACAGCACCCUCACAAACACAUACAGCACCCUCACAAACACACACAGCACCC